rnacentral:rRNA from 1 species
AUGCACGCUGGCGGCGUGCCUAAUACAUGCCAGUCGAGCGAACGGACGAGAAGCUUGCUUCUCUGAUGUUAGCGGCGGCCGGGUGAGUAACACGUGGAUAACCUACCUAUAAGACUGGGAUAACUUCGGGAAACCGGAGCUAAUACCGGAUAAUAUUUUGAACCGCAUGGUUCAAAAGUGAAAGACGGUCUUGCUGUCACUUAUAGAUGGAUCCGCGCUGCAUUAGCUAGUUGGUAAGGUAACGGCUUACCAAGGCAACGAUGCAUAGCCGACCUGAGAGGGUGAUCGGCCACACUGGAACUGAGACACGGUCCAGACUCCUACGGGAGGCAGCAGUAGGGAAUCUUCCGCAAUGGGCGAAAGCCUGACGGAGCAACGCCGCGUGAGUGAUGAAGGUCUUCGGAUCGUAAAACUCUGUUAUUAGGGAAGAACAUAUGUGUAAGUAACUGUGCACAUCUUGACGGUACCUAAUCAGAAAGCCACGGCUAACUACGUG